rnacentral:rRNA from 1 species
AGGGUUUGAUCAUGGCUCAGGACGAACGCUGGCGGCGUGCUUAACACAUGCAAGUCGAACGGAGCGCCCUUGACUGAGGUUUCGGCCGAAUGAUAGGAAUGCUUAGUGGCGGACUGGUGAGUAACGCGUGAGGAACCUGCCUUCCAGAGGGGGACAACAGUUGGAAACGACUGCUAAUACCGCAUGACACAUUCGGGCGGCAUCGCCUGGAUGUCAAAGAUUUUAUCGCUGGAAGAUGGCCUCGCGUCUGAUUAGAUAGUAGGCGGGGUAACGGCCCACCUAGUCGACGAUCAGUAGCCGGACUGAGAGGUUGACCGGCCACAUUGGGACUGAGAUACGGCCCAG